rnacentral:rRNA from 1 species
UCGGUACCUACUGAGAGGAAUACCACCGAGAAAUCGGUGACAAGACCGCAUAGCUUUCUUGCACAAGAAAGAAAGUCUCUCUUUGGAGAGACGCCUCAAGAUGGGCCUGUGCCUGAUUAGCUGGUUGGUGGGGUAAGAGCCUACCAAGGCGACGAUCAGUAGCUGGUCUGAGAGGAUGAUCAGCCACACUGGGAUUGAGAACGGCCCAG